rnacentral:hammerhead_ribozyme from 1 species
AGCUGACGAGUCCCAAAUAGGACGAAAUGGGCAUCCU